GACGAACGCUGGCGGCGUGCCUAAUACAUGCAAGUCAAACGAGAGCGACCGGUGCUUGCACUGGUCAAUCUAGUGGCGAACGGGUGAGUAACACGUGGGUAACCUGCCCAUCAGAGGGGGAUAACAUCCGGAAACGGAUGCUAAAACCGCAUAGGUCUUCGAACCGCAUGGUUUGAAGAGGAAAAGAGGCGCACGCUUCUGCUGCUGGAUGGACCCGCGGUGCAUUAGCUAGUUGGUGAGGUAACGGCUCACCAAGGCCGUGAUGCAUAGCCGACCUGAGAGGUUGAUCGGCCACAUUGGGACUGAGACACGGCCCAAACUCCUACGGGAGGCAGCAGUAGGGAAUCUUCCGCAAUGGACGCAAGUCUGACGGAGCAACGCCGCGUGAGUGAAGAAGGUUUUCGGAUCGUAAAACUCUGUUGUUAGAGAAGAACAAGUGCUAGAGUAACUGUUAGCGCCUUGACGGUAUCUAACCAGAAAGCCACGGCUAACUACGUG
rnacentral:rRNA from 1 species